GGACCUAUCUUUAAAAGGGAACAAAGAGAACUCUGAGACUUACUAGCUCGCCUCACUUCCAUAGCUGGAGAGAUACUGGAGUACAUUCUUAAACUAUCAGUUUGUCAGCAGCACCAACAGGAUAGUUUGGUUCUUAGGACUAGUGAGCAUGGAUUUGUCAAGAACAAAUCAUUCCAAACCAAUCCUCUUUCCUUCUUCGGCAGGGUUCCGGGCCUAGUGAAGCCAGCUGAUCGCCCAGUGUCAUCACCCUGCCUGCUGGCUGGGCAGGGUAACUCCUCAGGUCACCACCCUCCUCUCCAGCCUGUCUUGGGCUUGGAGAGUGAGGAGAAGGGCGAGGGAUGACAUUGAACAUCCUCCAUCCAUCGCUUCAUCACCAGAGCAAGAUGGCCAGGCUCCUGAGGAUGUUCAGGAAGAAGGCUCUGCAGGCGGCCCCAGAGCCUGUGGAAAGCAGCUGCCAUCUUCCCCAGGAGCCGAGCGG